AAAAGAAGAGUAGAAGAUCCCGAAGCAGACCGCCUCAAGAAUUUAAGCCCAACACGACGAAGACGAAUAAUAUUUUCAACUAUCACCGACAAUAUGUUCUCUCGCCGCGAGCCUGCUUAUCACGUUAUUUUCUUUAUUCGGACAAUGUUAUCGGCGUUCAUGUACCCACCGUCUCUCUCUUCUUUCUUGAUUGGAUUUGUCGUUUCAGAUAAGAUCAAGAGCGGAACCCAUUGAUGGAAAUAUAUCCGAUUCCGUUGGGUUUUGCAGGUUUUGAGGUUGAUUAAGUUGUAGCAGAGAGGACUUGAGUUUUUAUGAGGUGGUUCUUUUGACAGAAAAGGAGUUCGUGUAGAAGUUUAUAUCCAGGUCUUGAGAUGGUGUGGAGGAAUUGUUGUUUUUCAAGAAUUGGUAACGAUUCAAUUCCAAUGAGAUCCAGUGUUGUAGUGUGCGUACGGUCAUAUGGCACUGGGAAAGCUCAUAUGUGGCGUUCCAUACCUGAUUGGUUGUGUUGAAGGAAUGAGAGUGAGAUGUGUGGAGAAAUUGUGAGAUGAAAAAAAUUAUUUGUCGUUAGAAUUGACAAGAUCAAGUAUUGUAAUUUACGUGUCUGACCUUUGCCAUGGCGGGUGCGCUCCCAUGGCAGGUCAAAAAGUGCAAUAAAAUUUAUGUCUUUUUGGUUUUGGGGGGAUGAGGAGAUGGCACGGGAUAUUAAUAUAUUAUUUUGGCCCGGCUCUUCCCAUCUCCCAUUUGUCUGCCUGUGUAUUAUUAUUAUUUUUUUUAAUUUUUAUAUUUAUUUUCUGACAACUAGUGUAAAUUAUAUACUGACGUAAAUUAUAUGAUUUAUGAUUCUAACUUUUACCACGGCGGGUGCCCUGCUAUAAUAGGUCAAAAAAUGCAAUAAAAUUCACCCUAUUUUUAGUUUUGAAGGGAUUGGGAGAUGCGACGGGAUAUUGACAUACAAUUUCGGCUCGAGUCUCCCUAUCUCCCAUUUGUCUACAUGCAUACUUUUUUAUUUUUCCUAACUCUUAUAUUUAUUUUCGGACCAAUUGUAUAAAUUAUAUAUUUAGAUAAAUUAUGUAAUUUAUGUGUCUGACCUUUACUAUGACGGGUGCGCUAGCAUGGCAAGUCAGCCAUACAAAUGCAAUAAAAUUAAAAUUUUGUUUUGUUUUGAGGGGAUGGGGAGAUGACAAGGGAUAUUAGUACAUAUUUUUUUGCUCGGCUUUCCCUAUCACCAAAUUUUGUGUAUGUAUACUUCUAUCUAUUUUCUAACUCUUAUAGUUUAUUUUUGACUAAUUGUGUAAAUUAUGUGUUUAUAUAAAUUAUAUAAUUUAAGUUUUUGACAUUUGCCAUGGCGGAUGCGCUCGCAUGGCAAGUCAAAAAGUGCAAUAAAAUUCAUAUUUUUUUUUUCUGGGUUUGAGGGGAUUGGUAGAUGGUAUGAGAUAUUAAUAUAUUAUUUUGGCUUGGCUCUCCUAUCUCCUAUUUGUCUACCUGUGUAUUUUUUUCUCUUUCUUAUUUUUUAUAUUUAUUUUCUAACCAAUAGUAUAAAUUAUGUACUUAUGUAAAUUAUAUAAUUUACAUGUUUGACCUCUUCUAUGGUAAGUGCGAUUGCAUGGCAGGUCAAAAAGCAUAAUAAAACUCACGUUUUUCUUUUGGUUUUGCUGGGAUUGCUAGACGGGACAGGAUAUUAAUAUAUAAAUUGGCUUGGCACGGGAUAUUAAAAUAUUAUUUUGGCCUCAUAUUACAUCAGAAGGCCUGCAAAGGUGAUAUUAUAACAUUCCGAGCUCCUUUAUGGCUUCUUGAUGUGGUUUGAGUUUUUCUAAUCUGCCAAGAGUUAUGAUAAUAAAUUCUAUUAUGAGACUCCACUAAUAAAGUAAGGAGUAGCUCUUUUGGGUUCUGAUCUUGCUUGGUUUUUUUUUUUUGUGUCAUGAGUGUCAGCUAACUCAAGGAGAUGCUCGUUUGGGGAAAUAUAAUAUGAUCGGUUGCCUGAGUGGAAAAAGUUUCAAGAAAAAAUUUGAUUUGAUCGUAAGUUAUGGGUUUCCGGAGAAAUUAAAGUGUGAUUAUGUUUAGAGGGUUAGCUUCUUCUUAUGACCUCCAAGGAGAAGUUGAAGACAGAAAUCCAAUUCUUCUUGAACAUAAUUGGGUUUAAGAAGGAAAUUUUAGCUGAGAACCUGUCUGCUUGACGUACAGUUUUGAAGAUAGAAUCUUUCCUUGUUACAGGGUUUUGCAGGUUUUGAGGUUGAGAAGUUGUAGCAGAGAGGACUUGAAUUUUUAUGAGGUGGUGCUUUUGGCAGAAAAGGAGUUCAUGUAGAAGUUUAUAUCGAGGUCUUGAGAUAGUGUGGAGGAAUUGUUGGUAUGCUACAAAUCUCAUCUUUUGGAUUUAUCUUCUUCUUCUGCUUCUGAGAAGGAAGGCUCCUUACUGACCCUGUUCUCUAUGCUAUUGCUCCUAACUGACCUUAUUCUCUAUGCUCUUCAACUCUAAGAUGCAUUCUUAAUCUGCUGUAGUGCCAUUGUUGGACAUAAAUUUAAAAUUGAAUGGUUAGGAUCGAUUUUAAUGUUUGUUGCUUUUGUGCUUUGUUAAUACUGGUGAUUAAGCCGGUAUGUAUAUUUAUUUGCAUCAAUCCUAUAGGUAUUUUUUUGGUUUUUCCUGGAACUUUUUUUCUUCGGUUGAACAUGAAAUUUGAAGGAAAUAUGAGAAAUGUGUGAGAGGCAGGGAGGCAUCUAUUGCCCAGUUUUCUUUUGCUGUUCAUAUUUGAUUUUUUUUUUUUUUUCCUUUUUGGUAGUUUUCUUUUAAAAUUUCACCGUUCUUCAUGUAAUUGUUACUCACAAUCGGUUGGUGAUGCAAUAAGGGAAUUUUGCUGGUUGCUGUGUGACUUUAGUAUACGUGCAUACUUAUUCUUGAAGAAUCUAUGAAUAUUUGUGGUAAAUGAAUACGUAAUUUGAACAGUCCAUCAAAGUGCAUGUUGGUAUGCCUUGACCACUUUUUGUUUGCAUUGGAUGUUAUUACAUGAGUUCUUUUCUUGGUUUUCAUUGAUCACCUACAUUAUCCAGUGUGUUUGCAUGCUCCAUUGACUCUAUCUAAUAGGAUGUAGGAAACUCAAAAGUGUGUGAGUUGAUUUGCAUGUAUUCUGUGUUACUGGAAAAUCUGCCUGUGCAAAGGCUAAUAUGCCUUUAGGCCUUUUGGUUGCUAGUUGAUUAUGUUCUGGACUGUUAGAAUGCAUGCUUAAUAGCUCACUUUUUGUUCCUAGGAAAGCAAGAGCAUGCAAAAAAAGCCAGGCGAAAGACUGUUUAAUGAUCCUUAAUUUGCUGGAAGAUUUGUUUUCUAAAAAGAACCUCUUUCUUGGUUGUUGAUCUGUUCUAACAAUUUCUUCUCAUUUGUCUGUUUGGUGGAUAUUAAAUGGCAUUUUGCAGCUCCUGCUACCUCAACCGUUAUAUGGUUUGUUUAACUUUUUGCAAUGUGUUGUUCCGAUUUUUUUCUUUCUUUUUCAAAUUUAUCAUUAUUUUGCUUUGUAUUGUAUCGUUGAGAUAGAAUUGUUCAUUGAAUCCUUAUGUGUCUAUCUCCUUUUUUCUCUUUCUCAUUCUCUUUUCAUCUUUGAUGUCAUCGACUUGGAAUUUCUCCAAAUCUCAAGAAUAGUAUCUGAUUUGGUUCUUUCAUAUGUUGUUAUCACUCAUCUCUCUCUCCUUCCUGCAUUGGCUAUUUCAUUUUGAUUCCUUUCCUACUUUUUUUGUAUUGAGACUAUAGGUGUUGGAUCUUGAAUUUUUUUUUUUUUUUCAAAUUUAUCAUCCUUUGUCAUAACGUUUAUCUCCCUUUUUAUCUCUCUCUUUUCCUAUUGGAUGUCAUCAACUUCGAGUUGCUCCACAUCUCAAGAACAGUCUCUGAUUCGGAUAUAUAACAUGUUGUUAACACUUCUUGUUUUGUCCUUCCUUCGUUGACUGUUUCGUUAUGAUUUCUCUCAUAUCUUUUCUUGGUCAAGACCGUAGGUACAUGGACCAUGAAUCUUUAUUUUUUUUCCCCAUAUUUAUCAAUAUUUUGUUUUGUUUUUGUAUUAUUGAGAUGGAAUUGUUUGUUGAAUUCUAAUACAUCUACCUCCAAAAAUUUUCUCAAGUAGGCUUUAUUUCCUGUUUUGGCUGUUUUGUUUUGAUUCGUUUCAUAUUUCACUUGAUCAAGUAUGCAGGUUUUUUUUCUUUUCAUAUAUUCUUGGCUUUUUUUUUGAAAUAAUUUUCAUAUAUUUCAUAUAUUCUUUUCUCUUUGAAGGUAAAACAUCAAAUAAGCAUUCUAUCAAAAUUCAAGAUUAAGACCUUAAAUUUCUAGAGCUAAGCUAGAGGAGAAAUUCUUAUAAGUGAACUAAUAGCCUCUUUCUCUUUCUUUUCUGUGUUUGCUGUUAUCAAAUUUUUAUACCAUAUUCCUUGCUUGUACGAAAAAUUAAGGUUUCUCUUCCUUUGUGAGAGUAGCCAAAAAAGAGAGGGUGGAGAGAGGAAUCGCUCAACGAGAGAGAAGAGGAGUUGUCGCACGGGGGAAGCCAAGAGGAAGAAAGAAGGAGAGGAAAGGAAGACGGAGGUUGGAGAAGGAGAAGGAGAAGGAGAAGAGGAAGGGAAAAAAAAGUGGCCGAGCAGGAAAGGAAAGGGGGAGCUGAGAACGGCCGUUGGAAAAGGGAAGAGAGAGGCGGAGGUGGGAGAGUGGUGGAAGCCAAGCCGAAAAGAAGAAAAAGGAAGAGAAUCGGGCUGAGAUGUCGUGUGAUGGCGAACACCGAGGCAAGCGAGUUUGUAAGUUUAAAAAUCAUCAUCCGAAUCUCAAGCAAGCUAGGAAGCCACAAGGUGGUCGAGAGGCGACCAUUAGGAGCCAAACCGAGGUCGAAUUGCCCCACGCCAGAAAAGUAAAGCCUUUUCAUUUUUUUGGUGGUUAUUGAGCGAUGGUGGAGCGGGACUGGUGUCGGGCUAGCUGUGCGAGCUCGGUUGGGUCAUCCACCUACACAGGAACCGAGGAGCUUUCCUCGAGAGUGGGGAAAUCGGCCCUCCAAUGGAAGCCGAGGGGCCUUCUUCGGGAAUGGAGACCAAAUUCACUCUUUUGGGAUUUCGAUUCACCGUUCGAAAAGCUCAAAAGCUUUCAUCGAGUACGAAAAUUCAAUCCGACAAAUGGAAAGCCGGUAGGUCUUUCCUGGAUACGAAUUCUGAUGUUUUCGGGAUUUUUCAUCGGGUUGUCAUUGAAAAUUGUAAAUUCGAUUAAAUUAGUUUUGUUUAGUAUUUAAAAUUAUAUUAAUUAAUUCAUGUCGUAUGCGUACAAAAAAUUAGAACGUUCAAACGGAUUCAGGAAUACCGUUGCA